GACGAACGCUGGCGGCGUGCUUAACACAUGCAAGUCGAACGGUAAGGCCCUUCGGGGUACACGAGUGGCGAACGGGUGAGUAACACGUGGGUGAUCUGCCCUGCACCUCGGGAUAAGCCUGGGAAACUGGGUCUAAUACCGGAUAGGACCACUGCCUACACGGGUGGUGGCGGAAAGCUGUUGUGGUGUGGGAUGGGCCAGCGACCUAUCAGCUUGUAGGUGGGGUGAUGGCCUACCAAGGCGACGACGGGUAUCCGGCCUGAAAGGGUGACCGGCCACACUGGGACUGGGAUACGGCCCAGACUCCUGCGGGAGGCAGCAGGGGGGAAUAUUACACAAUGGACGCGAGCCUGAUGCAGCGACGCCGCGUGAGGGAUGACGGCCUUCGAGUUAUAAACCUCUUUCAGCACCGACAAAGCGCAAGUGACGGUAGGUGCAGAAGAAUGACCGGCCAACUACGUGCCAGCCGCCGCCGUAACAC
rnacentral:rRNA from 1 species